GUGGGGAAUUUUGGACAAUGGGCGCAAGCCUGAUCCAGCAAUGCCGCGUGCAGGAAGAAGGCCUUCGGGUUGUAAACUGCUUUUGUACGGAACGAAACGGUCCUGGCUAAUAUCCGGGGCUAAUGACGGUACCGUAAGAAUAAGCACCGGCUAACUACGUGCCAGCAGCCGCGGUAAUACGUAGGGUGCGAGCGUUAAUCGGAAUUACUGGGCGUAAAGCGUUCGCAGGCGGUUUUGUAAGAUCGAUGUGAAAUCCCCGGGCUCAACCUGGGAACUGCAGUGGUGACUGCAAGGCUGGAGUGCGGCAGAGGGGGAUGGAAUUCCGCGUGUAGCAGUGAAAUGCGUAGAUAUGCGGAGGAACACCGAUGGCGAAGGCAAUCCCCUGGGCCUGCACUGACGCUCAUGCACGAAAGCGUGGGGAGCAAACAGGAUUAGAAACCCGAGUAGUCC
rnacentral:rRNA from 1 species